CAGUCGCCGCGGGAAUACGUAGGGUGCAAGCGUUAAUCGGAAUUACUGGGCGUAAAGCGUGCGUAGGCGGUUUGUUAAGUCUGUUGUGAAAUCCCCGGGCUCAACCUGGGAAUUGCAGUGGAUACUGGGUCACUAGAGUGUGGUAGAGGAUAGUGGAAUUUCCGGUGUAGCAGUGAAAUGCGUAGAGAUCGGAAGGAACAUCUGUGGCGAAGGCGACUAUCUGGGCCAACACUGACACUGAGGCACGAAAGCGUGGGGAGCAAACAGGAUUAGAUACCCCCGUAGUCCCUGUCUCUUAUAC
rnacentral:rRNA from 1 species